CACCAUUUAGUUUAAACGAAAACAUGGGGGUUUGGCCCAGCCACAGCCGCUGGUCUGCCCUUGGGGAAAUGUGUGUCUUUCUGCUAAAUCCCACCCACUCAAACAACCUUUGUUGUGCCUUGCUCUGAGAGCCAGUGGAGUGAGAGGAAGCAACUCUAGCUGCUAUUACUGCUGCAAGACUCAAACACAGCAGACACAGCCAACACGCAUUGGCAAGUGACAAAUUCACAAAUAAAUGGCCAACGUUCUCCUAUUCAGAUGACAUCCUGUGACUAAUGAGGUCUGGCCGCCAGACAACCUGCCCGCUCGACCACAUCUCCUCCUCCCUUCUCCAGACCAUCUCUGGAGACCUUCUCUUAUUCCUCUCCGCCCUCAUCAACUCACCCCUGACCACUGGCAGUGUUCCCUCUGACUUCGAAAUGUUGCUCCUCUCCACAAGAAACCAACAGUCGACUCAACUGAUGUCAAAAACUAUAGACCCGUAUCACUUUUUUUCUUUACAAAACUGUCUCUGAUGAACUUUUUUGUUAUUUCUCUCAAAAUGAUCUACCUGACCCAAACCAGUCAGGCUUGAAGAUGGGUCACUCAACCGAGACUGCUCUUCUCUGUGUUUACGGAGGAUCUCCGCAUUGGCAAAGCUGACUCUCUCCUCUGUUCUCAUCCUCCUCUUUCAAUAAUAGUGUUGCCCUGAAUUGGUGACAUCCAACACAUCUCAGUGGAAAAAGGAAUAUGGAAUGCCUGGUCGAUGCUUGAUGAGAAGGAUAUUUUUUAAAUAUUUCAGUCUAUUGUGAAUCAUUAAUCCAUACACAGGUAAGAGUAUAGAGUUAAAAUAGCUACAUAUCUAGUCACAUCCCAGUUAGCAAUGAGCAAUCGGCAGGCAGGUAGCCCUCAAAUAAUUCUGCCAUGCAGACAGUAAACUUGAUCGGUGGCCUUACUGGCAGGGUGCCAGUUUUUAAAUGAACAUUUAUUUGCCAGAGAUGCAAAUCAACUCAUCAGAGAUGCAAAUUGCAUCAUAACAGCAAACUGCUUAUCCUUCACUCUGCGGUCCAACUCAUCUCAAACCAUCUUGAACUCAAAAUAAAUCACAGACAGUGUCACCAGCAAAGCACCCCCACACCAUCACACAUCCUCCUCCAUGCUUCACGGUGGGAACCACACAUGCUGAGAUCAUCUUUUCACCUACCCUGUGUCUCACAAGACACAGUGGUUAGAACCAAAAAUCUCAAAUAUAAACUCAUCAGACCAAUGGACAGAUUUCCACCGGUCUAAUGUCUAUUGCUCGUGUUUCUUGGCCCAAGCAAGUCUCUUCUUCUUAUUGGUGUCCUUUAGUAGUGGUUUCUUUGCAGAUGUGUCUGUUACUUGAACUCUGUGAAGCAUCUGAGGUGCAGUUAUUAAGUCUAAUGAACUUAUCUUCUGCAGCAGAGGUAACUCUGGGUCUUCCUUUUCCAGUGGCGGUCCUCAUGAGAGCCAGUUUCAUCAUAAUGCUUGAUGGUUUUUGCGACUGCACUUGAAGAAACUUUUACAUUUUCCGUAUUGAAAAUGUUUUCCGUAUUGAAAAUGAUCUUGACAUUUUCCAUAUUGACUGACCUUCAUGUCUUAAAGUAAUGAUGGACUGUUGUUUCUCUUUGCUUAUUUGAGCUGUUCUUGACAUAAUAUGGACUUGGUCUUUUACCAUAUAGGGCUAUCUUCUGUGUACACAUUAAGAAGGAAAGAAAUUCCACAAAUUAACUUUUAACAAGGCACACCUGUUAAUUGAAAUGCAUUCCAGGUGACUACCUCAUAAAUCUGGUUGAGAGAAUGCCAAGAGUGUGCAAAGCUGUCAUCAAGGCAAAGGGUGGCUACUUUGAAGAAUCUCAAAUAUUAAAUAUAUAUUUGAUUUGUUUAUCACUUUGUUUUUGAUUACUACAUGAUUCCAUAUGUGUUAUUUCAUAGUUUUGAUGUCUUCACUUUUGUAGAAAAUAGUAAAAAUAAAGAAAAACCCUGGAAUGAGUAGGUGAGUGCAAACAUUUGACUGGUACUGUACAUAGCCUUGUCCUGCCAACAGACUUUUCUGAAUAACAUCCUAUUCUCAACAGCAGAAAUAUGACAAACAUAUAUCUGGCCAUGUAAAUUCCUAAUUCAGCCUACAUAGAUAUUACAUACAGCACAUACAGUAGACAUUACACAUGAUAUACAUAACAAACAGACUCAUACAAGCAGAGAGGGGGGAGAGAGCGAGAGAGAGAGAGAGAGAGAGAGAGAGAGAGAGAGAGAGAGAGAGAGAGAGAGAGAGAGAGAGAGAGAGAGAGAGUAUUGCAAAGUGUCACAAAGUAUUGCAAAGUAGUAUGGGUUGCACCUCCGUCACAUGGUCGAGUCAUUGGUCGAGUCAUUGACAUUGUUACGCAUCAUGUAAUCAAGUCACUAAACCUCGAGUCAGAGUGCGAGUUAUCAAUGGUUGAAUCACGAGUCGAGUCACGAGUCUCUAUGGUUGAAGUUCGAGUCGCAGAGUUCGAGUCACUGGGUCCACGUUAACUCAAAAUAAAGUAAUUUAUUAACCAGUCAGAUGUAGUGCAGUGGCAAGAGGAAUUUAGUCAAUUCAUUGUUUCCUAUUUUGCAAUACUAUACAUAGCCCAUCUCUAAACAGCCCAUCUAUCUACCUACCUCAUCCCCAUACUGUAUUUAUUUAUUUAUCUUGCUCCUUUGCACCCCAGUAUCUCUACUUACACAUUCAUCUUCUGCACAUCUACCAUUCCAGUAUUUAAUUGCUAUAUUGUAAUUACUUCGCCACCAUGGCCUAUUUAUUGCCUUAACUUACCUCAUUUGCACUCACUGUAUAUAGACUUUUUCUUUUCUUUUCUUCUACUGUAUUAUUGACUGUAUGUUUUGUUUAUUCCAUGUGUAACUCUGUGUUGUUGUAUGUGUCGAAUUGCUAUGCUUUAUCUUGGC
rnacentral:lncRNA from 1 species